rnacentral:rRNA from 1 species
UACGAAGGGGGCUAGCGUUGCUCGGAAUCACUGGGCGUAAAGGGUGCGUAGGCGGGUCUUUAAGUCAGGGGUGAAAGCCCAGAGCUCAACUCUGGAAUGGCCUUUGAGACUAGAGAACUAGGGUACGGGAGAGGUGAGUGGAAUUCCGAGUGUAGAGGUGAAAUUCGUAGAUAUUCGGAAGAACACCAGUGGCGAAGGCGGCUCACUGGCCCGUUACCGACGCUCAGGCGCGACAGCGUGGGGAGCAAACAGG